UUUAUAUUGUUUUCCUAGUAUUGAUUGUGUGAAACAUUAAAGACUUGAAGUUGAUAAAUUGUUUUGCAAGUUCCAGUUUUACAUGUCUUCAUAAAUCAUUUCCAGUAGCUGUCUGGUUCAGUGAUUUAUCCUCUUGGGGUGCUGUAGGACAUGAUUUGUGACUCUGGCCAUUCCUUAUCACUACUUAGUGCACUUUCAGUCAACUUGCCAACAUAGGUAUCCUUGCCCUAAAACUACUAGAUUUGCCGUUGUAAUGUUUUUAGAUGAAGGUCUGCACACUUUUUUCUGUACAUCUAACCUUUACCCUUGCUCAUAGUUCAUCCUGUCAAGCUUUGAGACAGAAAAGCAAUGGCUUUGAUAUUCACAAGAGUCCAUCCUGUCUUAAAAUCAAUACUGCUGCC
rnacentral:lncRNA from 1 species